GAAGAAGAGCAAUAAUUCCAACUGGCAGUCCAAAAAUAACCAGAUUGGAGGGUGGAAGGAAAAGAAGGAAAAGGGAAGCUAAAAGUGGAAGGAAGGAUGUGCAGAGUCCAGCAUCUGGGAGAGGAUAACAAUGCAGAAGAUCAGACUGGGAGGCCAUCUGAAUAGAAAACAGCAUUGUAGGCAUUGGGGACAUUAGACGUACUCACAAACAAUAACUUGUGCAUCUCAGCCAUACAUCUUGCAAUAAAAACAGUCCUAGUCAGUGUUCACAAGUGCAGCCAGCAGAUCCUUCCCCUCUAUUUGGCACUCAUGAGAUUGCAUGAGGAGAACCAUGACCUGUUUGAGGCUCCCCACUAAAGAAAAGACAUUGACGUGCUGGACUGAGCCCAGCAGAGUGCUACUAAGAUGGUUGGAGAGUUGAAGAACCUAUGAGGAUGUGAAAGGAGAGGCCAGGGCCCUGGGUUUUGUUCAGCAUUAGGAAAAGGUUGCUGAUGAGAGGUCUUACUGCUCUCUUCUUCUAUCCGGGGCAUUCUCAAAUUCUGCUCAGGGAUCAAUGAAAGCCAGAUGAAAGUGAAACACAGGAAAUUUGAACAUAAUGCCUGGGAGUGGAGUGGAAUUGCAAGGAUAAAGUGCCUGGAGCAGAUGUCCUGAGAGGCUAUGGAAUCUCCAUCCUUGGAAGCAGGCCAAACUCGACUGGACUUGCUUUGAGCUGCAUCCUUGCACAUAGACUGCUGCCAAUUUAAAUGGCUCCAUGUGUACUAGGGAAUUGACGAGAGGGAGUUAAACUGGAUUUUCCAACAGGAUUAUGUAGCAUAGGAAGCACCUCUUCAGUUAGAAUUUUAUGGGUACAUAUUUUAUUUUAUUAUUUUAUUUCUGAAACAAUUUUGACUCUUUUGCCUUGACUAACUUGAGGACCAGUCUACAGUUUCUCAUUUUAAGAUGUUUUGGUUAUUUGUAUAUUUACCAGACUUAACUGUGCAACUUCUGUCUUAUAAUAACUGUAGAAACUGAUAAGGACCUUAAUGAUACAGUGCACCAUUUCUUUGUAAGCUUUGAUCAGUUGAAGUAGAUGACAAAAUCAAUUUCUGAAUUAUUCUCUUUUGGGCUUAGCUUGUAUACUAUCUGUAUGUAGUAGAAUUGAUUUACAUUUAUCUGUGUCUCAAUUCUGCUUCAGGCUCUGCAAAUUUAGAUAGAUAUGAAAUGGAUAUCAGAGAUAAUAGUAGUAUUUAGAAGCCACUGUUCAAAACUAAAAAAAAACAAAAAAAACAAAAAAAACAAAAAAACCCAAUACGUUAUGAUUCUAGGAUCAUAACGUAUUAAUUUUAAGCUAUGUAGUGCAAGAUGAAGAGUAAUUGGUGUUCCAAAUAGCUGAGUCCCAAUAUAAUCUAGUCUCUGAUGGCAUUACUUUGAAAGAAUGAGAAAAAGUGCAUUUUAUGUAGUUUUAUUUUUAAAAUCAUUUACUUGCUUUGAACCCAUUUGCAAGAUGUUAUUCUGUCCUCAGGAGGCUGCUUUUAUUGACUUUCUUGAGAGUGGUAGUUGCUUAGCAGUUUUACUGCUUUGAGGCCAUCAGCCUGGGCAACAGUCCAGUUAACAAGAAGUUUCUUAAGCAAAAAUUUGGUUGUAAUAGUAUGACUUGUCUAACACAAAUGGUUUAUUUACUGCUAUAUGUCAGCCAGCUGCAUAUGGUGGCCUUGCACUGUGUUUGGGUCUCUCAUUUCAGGAAAAGUACUCAGCAUCUCACCUGCACUCAAUUUAGGACAGUCCAUUCCACUUGUACUCAAUUAAAUGUAGUUCAUUCUACCUGCAGUAAUCUGGUAGCCCUUUUAUCCUGGGAGACCUGAGGGAAAGUUCUGAGCUGAAUGAGUUAUUCUGGUGGUGGUAGUUCUUCCCCUGAUCUCUUCGUGUAGAAGUCAUGUAGCUCUGCUAUGCUCAAGCAUGUUUUUUCCUUAUGUCCACAGGUAAGAUGCUAAGAAAUGCAUUUUCUCUGUUGAAACAGCUUAUCCAAUGUACAGCCUGUUUGGUUUCCAUGUGGUUUCUGGCAGGCAGGGCAAUAAGAAAGAUCUGUAGGCAUUCACCUAGCCGUAGCUGCCCUCUUGCAUGGGAAGUGCCUACGGACUGAGCACUGUGUAGGUGUUUAUCUUUGCUGCACCCAUGGUUUCUUAGAACAAUGGUUGUAGCUGUGGAUUAGCAGAAGGCACAGUCGCUUUUGUAAUGAAGGUCUGAACAGCCUUUUGGUGUAGCUGGAAUGAAUUUUGGCAUGCUAGUCAGAACAGCAGUAUGGUACUGAGCUCUAUUUCAUUUCACAAUUUCAUGUUCUACUUCAUUGAGUUGGGAAAGUGCUUUUGAUGCUUCUCCUGCUAAAGACUGUCAGUGAUACUGAAGAAGGAAAGAGCCCAUUCACCGUGUUUCUGUUGCUUGGAUUACUGGGAGAACGGUAAGAAAGGAUCAAAUUUGAACUGAAAGAAAUGAACGUCUUGUGAAAAUAAACUCUUUGUGUGAAUUUUCUAGCCAGAAAUGCUAAUUAACUGCCAGUUUCCCAAAAUGUAUAUACUUCCUAAGAACUGCUCUGAAUGCUGUAAAACAAUUGUGUCAUCAGUUUGGCCAGCUGACAAGGCAUAUGGCAAAGUCCUUUAUGAUGCCUGUUAUCGGUAAUGAUAGCUGUUUGUGUGGAGCAGUGCUUUUCUCUAAGCAAGGGUAGUGCAGCAGUUGUCACUGAGUGGAGCAAACUGCAAAAGAACUAA